GUCCUACGGGACGCAGCAGUGAGGAAUAUUGGUCAAUGGGCGGAAGCCUGAACCAGCCAAGUCGCGUGAGGGAAUAAGGCCCUACGGGUCGUAAACCUCUUUUGCCGGGGAGCAAGAGCCGGGACGCGUCCCGGCCCGGAGAGUACCCGGAGAAAAAGCAUCGGCUAACUCCGUGCCAGCAGCCGCGGUAAUACGGAGGAUGCGAGCGUUAUCCGGAUUUAUUGGGUUUAAAGGGUGCGUAGGCGGUUUAAUAAGUCAGUGGUGAAAACUGAGGGCUCAACCCUCAGCCUGCCACUGAUACUGUU
rnacentral:rRNA from 1 species